GAGAGAGAUUAAUCAGAUCUAACGUUGAGGAAUUAAUUAAAGGUAAAGCCUCCUUGAACAGUCUAGUUGGGAUAGGAUCUAAAAGACAUGUUGAUGGUUUGGAUGUAGAAACUAUUGAAAUGAGUUCAGAGAGAUGUAUGGGGGUGAAAAAUUCUAAAUAUCCAUCUGGUCUUACAGCCAGUUCUAAAGUAAUCAGCUCCAGAUUCCUUAGAGACUGUGCAGACCAGCUCUGUCAGGUGCUGCUGCACAUCUUUAACCUGAGCCUGAGUCUGGAGAGGGUUCCUGUGUUAUGGAAGACUUCCUGCCUGGUUCCUGUCUCUAAGACCAGGAACCCCAGGGAGCCUAACCACUUCAGACCUGUGGCCCUCACUUCUCACCUGAUGAAGACCAUGGAGAGGAUCGUCCUCAGGAACCUCUGUCCCCAGGUGAGCCAGUAUCUGGAUCCACUGCAGUUCGCCUACCAACCGAACAUUGGAGUGGAUGAUGCAGUGGUCUACCUGCUGCACAGAUCCAUGACUCACCUGUAGGGGCUUUCGACCAAAGAGCACCAGGUGCUAGGUUGGUUCAAAGUUGAGAGCCAGUGCUUUUUUGGUUCAAAUCUCGUGCCGCCCCAGAACGGGUUUGUGUUUCCAUUCAGAAGGAGCAAGUUGGAGCUGCGUCAUUGCGCCACCACAAAACGUGUGUACGUCACUGCGUACGUAGCUGUUCAACAGCGUUCACGCCAUACGGAAACCCACACAACAACAAUGGAGGACUUCAUUAGAGUGGUGUACAUGGCUUUGCUAGUGUGUCUCGCCAUCGCUGAACAGCAAAACCUUCUGUUAGAGGUCACCCAUCGGCGUCGCCGUUCCAAUGCCCGGCGAUCACGUUUGAGAAGAAAGAUGUUUUUAGAUGUCACCCCGCCCUCUGCCCGUGACGUGCUCGGCUCUCAACUCUGGCCACCUCUGGCCCAGCAACGAGUUGGUGCCCGAAACGGCCCCAGUUUUUGGAGCCGGGAGCCGCAGCUCCGGUGGUCGAAACACAAAAAACCGGCGCCAAAUCGGGCGCCGGCUCCAACUCCGAACGGGCUCCACCCGGUCGAAAAGAGGGUCUGGAGAACCCCGGCAGCACUGUGAGGGUCAUGUUCUUUGACUUCUGCAGUGCUUUCAACACAAUCCAGCCUUCUCUGCUCAGGGUGAAGCUUGAAGGAGCAGGAGUAGACUGUCACCUGGCUGCUUGGACCAUCGACUACCUCACCAACAGACCACAGUACGCGAGGCUUCAGGACUGUGUGUCUGAUGUGGUAGUCAGCAGCAUGGAGGUCCACAGGGGACAGUCUGUCCUCCUUUCUCUUCACCCUGUACAAAUCGGACUUCCAUUACAACUCUGGGAGCUGUCACCUCCAGAAGUUCUCCGAUGAUACAGCCAUUGUCAGGUGUGUAUCUGAGAGGGACUAGCAGGAGUACAGGACGGUCAUCUCUGACUUUGUUGACUGGUGUGGGCUAAACCAUCUGCAGAUCAACACCAGUAAGACAAAGGAGAUGAUGAUCGACUUCCGCAGGAGGAGGACACCCCAGACUGCACCGGUGAACAUCCAGGGUUUGGACAUUGAGAUGGUGGACUCAUACAAAUACCUGGGUGUUCACCUCAACAAUAAACUGGACUGGUCACACAAUACAGAGGUUCUGUACAAGAAGGACCAAAGUCGUCUCCACCUGCUGAGGAGACUGAGGUCCUUUGGAGUGUGCAGGACUCUGCUCAGGACAUUCUAUGACUCUGUGGUAGUGUCUGCUAUCUUCUAUGCGCUGGUCUGCUGGGGAGCAGGGAGCACUGAAAGGGACAGAAAGAGACUAAACAGAAGGUCAGGAGGAGGUUCUGUCCUGGACUGUUCCCUGGACUCCAUAGAGGAGGUGGGUGAGAGGAGGAUGUUGGCAAAGCUCACAUCCAUCAUGGACAAUCCCUCUCACCCACUGCAUGACACUGUGGGGUCUUUAAGCAGCUCCUUCAGCAGCAGACUGAGACAUCCACCCUGCAAGAAAGAGCGCUAUCGCAGGUCCUUCAUUCCAUCUGCUAUAAGACUUUACAACAUCAGCAUCAGUGGCUGAUGUUAACAUAAACUGGACUAUAUCAUUACCACCCCAAACCAUAAAAUUUGCAGACAUCAUUGCACUGCUACAUCUUUGCACUUUUUAAACUUAUUUUUUUAAGCCAC
ensembl:lncRNA